rnacentral:lncRNA from 1 species
AUGACAAAACCUACUCAAUUCAAUAUCCUCAGUGAAAUCCAAAAUAAGAUGCAUGCAUGCUUUCAAUCUAGAGAUUACACAACAGAUGUUAUACAUUAUGAAUGACCAAUCUACUAAGCAAAAAUGCACUCAUGAAAAUUAACAGUUCAUACCAAGCAAGUGUUUCAUUCAAUCACUCAAGUGUUUUAAGGUGACACUUCAACUCUCUAAUGUACACAAGUCACAUGAGACAAAAUUGCCAUUCAUCUCAAACAAUCAACAUCUUUACAUGAAAAUGUCAUCAAAAGGACUUUUCAAGGCUGUAAUGAGGUUGGGCUAACAAGAAAAAUUGGUUUUUUCUAGAAUGCAAAAUCCUUGAGUCAAGAGAACUAUCAAAAUAUUCAACAAUUAAGCACAACUCUCUCAUCAAAGUUUCUCAUUCCCAACUUCUUCCCUUUUCUUAUCUUUUUCAUUGAGCUCAUCUUCAUGCUUUUCUUCUUUUCUUUUCUUUUUCUCAUGAAUUUUUCUCUUUCCACAACAAUUGAGCUCAAUGCUUUUUUCUUGCUUUUUCAAUUUUCCCCCGUACAACCCCAAACUUGAACCUUUUCAUCACAAACAAUUAA